UAGGUUUGUACCUGUGUAAUUACCUGUACAUCUACCUGUAGAUUUGUACCUGUGUAAUUAUCUGUACAUCUACCUGUAGGUUUGUACCUGUGUAAUUACCUGUACAUCUACCUGUAGGUUUGUCCUGUGUAAUUACCUGUACAUCUACCUGUAGGUUUGUACCUGUGUAAUUACCUGUACAUCUACCUGUAGAUUUGUACCUGUGUAAUUACCUGUACAUCUACCUGUAGGUUUGUACAUGUGUAAUUACCUGUACAUUGACCUGUAGAUUUGUAUCUGUGUAAUUAUCUGUACAUCUACCUGUAGGUUUGUACCUGUGUAAUUACCUGUACAUCUACCUGCAUCUAUAUAACUGUGUGUGUAACUACCUGUGAAUUUGUACCUGUACAUUAUCACCUUGGAGAGCUUGCUGUGUGAAAGUAUGUGAUGUGCUGUAUAUUUAUGUCACUGUUGUGGAUUAGAGUGAACAUUCUUCCUAACCAGUUGUAUUUAUAUACUUGACUGUACAAAGAGAUAUGUACUUUAUUCUAUUUACAAUUGCUCGGUUUUGAGGUGAACUAUUCAAGUUUGGUGUAUUUAUAUGAGCCUGUUCACAUGAGAGCCACUUUGUCUAAUGUCUGUUCAUGCUGACAAUAUUACUGUUGCCAGGAAAUGGCCACACUGUCUUUGAAUUUCAGAUCAACUGUUUGAUUAACACGUGUAUACUGAUGGCAUUAAGUAAGGGAACACCAAUACUGGAGUGGAGGUUACUAGCUGUAUCCAUGAUGAAACUGGUUCACCUGUUGAUAUGCAACACAAACUUAGCACUUUUAGACGACAGUCGAUGGCCAGUUACAAUCUGUAUCAUAUCCAGCUACAGGUGCACAUGCUAAACAAGCAGUUAAACAUUUAACAUUAAGAUACACGAUUGCCUCCUAAAUUUGUUUCAAGCAAAAAUAAUUACAAAAAACACUGCUGAUAAUCAAUUUUGUUGUAUGUUUACUCACACAUGGCUGACUACUCUCCACAUGUUCCCGUAUCUUCACCCAACAGCUUGACUACUUCUAAACACUUUCAGCUUAACAUUCAACCGUACAAACAAUGCCCCUGCUCUGUCAUGGUGGCAAGUUGAUAUAUGCACCAAAGUUUGCCAUCAGAUGGCGCCACCAUCACUAUUGUAUGCGUGCUGUCCUAGAGGGAGAUUCACUGCUCAACACACGCCAUUAUACAAACACACCAACUGGAACCGUCCUGGCUCCCCUAGUACUCCAUUGUUUCCACUCUACCUGCUGUGAUAUGACUGUUAUCAAGGGUUAUAACAUCAUAACUGUUAUAAAAGAUUACCAUCCAGAAAGUGGGUGAUAAAUGCUUAUUUUCAUAUCCUUGAUUUAAUUAAUAUAUAUAAUCAAUAUAUAUCACUUAUUGAAAUAUUAUUAAUCAGAAAAAGGAUGGGGAGCUUAAUAGCACAAAGUGUCAUUAGUUUAAUCAGAUAUGUUGAUAAGCUUCAUAUUGCUCAAGAAGAAGUUGCCAAUAGAUUUAUUGAGUAGCUAGGACACCAGGUGUCCUGAGUCCAACAAACAUAUAGAUCUGUAGCCAGCUGAGUGUAGACACUGGACAUUCUUGUCAUAUGAGACACAUUAGAAGCGUGCUGCUGAGUCCAGUGGUAAUGGGUGGACAACACACCUUGGUGUGCCCAAUUAGCAGUAGCUAGAAGUGAUCAUAAAAUCAAACCCUAAGGUCAUUGAGUACUUUGGGAGUAACGGUAUGAAGGCCCUCGUACAUCAGCUGUAGCCCACCUGGUGGUGGGCAGGUAAAUGUACAGGUAGGUAGUACAGUAUAUAGUCAGGUCAAUGAUGGGGCAGAUUUCAUGGCAGUAAAGUGUAUAGACAACAUCCAGUAAGGGACAGAUCAUUUUACAGGUGGUACAGUUUACAGUUAGAACGAUUAUGGGGCAGAUGAAUCUACAAGUAGUACAGUUUAUUGUUAGGCCAAUUAUGGGGCAGAUAAAUUUUCAGGCAGUAAGUUUUUUUGGUUACACCACUUAAGUGGCAGAUCAAUUAACAUGUAGAUAAAUGUUAAUAGUUGUUAUAUGAGGUGUGUUCAAGAGCAGACAAGGUUAUUGUAGGGUGGUAAGGUUAGGAAUUACAGAGGCAUCACAGGUGUCUGUUGAUUCAUCAUCAGAGCAGGUACUCUUUUUGUUGUCACAGGUAUGGAGGUACGCCAUGAUUCCGUUCCCCUGCUUUGCUGUAUUAUUUCAAUUUAAAUAUAUUUAAUAUGCCAUUUUGAAAUAAUAUUUCACAGUAUCAAUUAAAUUUUGGUUUUGCCCUUUUAGAAUGUGCAUUUUAGCUUGCUGCAUAUCAAAUCACAUAUCUCCACUUCGCAGCCUGGUAUAUUGUCUGAAUUUCCAGGGUAUCAGUAUGUCCAGUGGAUGAAGUUGGGAUGGAUUUUGAAUUCCCUGUUUUUCUAGAAAUAUUUUAUGAACAAGUUUCAAACAUAUUUGUAUAAAACUCUUUGCAUAUUGAUGUGAACUUUUCCAAAAAUGCAUCUAACUUCAUGCCUUUAAUGACACAAAGUGUUUUGCUGAGACCAGGGAUUACUCGGCGGAGUUACUGCCCCUUAGUUUCCUGGCCAUUGUUUUGUAUGUUCAUGGAAGACCAGUUCCUGUUUAUUCUCAUGUACUAGCUGAUGAUGAAACAUUUCAAAUAUAUACCUUCAGUUGGAAACGCUUUGCGUUAAUAAGUUAUUUCAAUUGACACCAUUUGCAGUAUAGUGUAAAGUUCAGAUCUCUGUUUGAUUUUGUACAUAUACAACAAAGGAACAACAUCUGCUUCGUGUGCUACCGGUAGUUGUAGUGACAAUCAGUUGAUCUUCCCUUGACAACCCCGGGUAGCACCGUUACAGGCAGGUCACUCCAUGGAGGAGGAAUGUCUGUGUGGAGGCUUCAUAUAUUUCCACAGUAUUGUUGUAUAGUAUGAUACUGUGCUAGUCACAGUAUUGUUAUACAGUAUGAUACUGUUCUAAUCACAGUAUUGUUAUAUAGUAUGAUACUGUGCUAGUCACAGUAUUAUUAUAUAGUAUGAUACUGUUCUAAUCACAGUAUUGUUAUAUAGUAUGAUACUGUUCUAAUCACAGUAUUGUUAUAUAGUAUGAUACUGUGCUAGUCACAGUAUUGUUAUAUAGUAUGAUACUGUUCUAAUCACAGUAUUGUUAUAUAGUAUGAUACUGUGCUAGUCACAGUAUUGUUAUAUAGUAUCAUACUGUACUUAUCACAGUAUUGUUAUACAGUAUGAUACUGUGCUGAAUACGGUAUAUGGUAUGUGCUAAUGACAGUCCUAUGUAACUAUGUCCUUGGCCAAAAAUAAGAAACAUUUUAUUGUGAUUCUUUGUGUGAAUGAAAUAUCUCCUUUUCCAGGAGAAAAUAUUAUCUAAAGAUAAUACUUACUGGAGUCCCACAGAAUAACAUACAUGUAUUAUGGUGUUUUUGUGUGCAUUCAAUAUUUAGUCUGACCAAGUCACAACAAGCCAGGUUAUUAUUACUAAAAGUCAUUGUGUAUAUGUAUUACUUUUUGUGUUAGAGACAACACUUUUGCCAAAAACCUGAUAAGGCAAGGUUAUUUGUGAUUACUUUCCUUAUAAUUAAGUGGAAUUAUGUUUUGAUUAACUGUGCUCUUUCAGAAUAUAUUAUGCACACAAAAUGCCUGCCAACAAAUAGUGUUAUCCAACAACUAGUGGAUAUAAAACACUGUUCAGUUUUCAAGUGCCAAUCAUGAAAUAAAACAAACUGUGCAGAGA